rnacentral:rRNA from 1 species
UACGUAGGGUGCGAGCGUUAAUCGGAAUUACUGGGCGUAAAGCGUGCGCAGGCGGUUUUGUAAGCCAGAUGUGAAAUCCCCGGGCUUAACCUGGGAAUGGCAUUUGGGACUGCAAGGCUGGAGUGUGGCAGAGGAGACUGGAAUUCCUGGUGUAGCGGUGAAAUGCGCAGAUAUCAGGAGGAACACCGGUGGCGAAGGCGGGUCUCUGGGCCGAUACUGACGCUGAGGAGCGAAAGCGAGGGGAGCAAACGGG